UCCGCUUUACAGCGGCAGUUUGUUCCGAGUCCCCGACGUUACUCGCUGGUAACAGAACAUGAGGGUUGCGCUCGUUGCGGGACUUAACCCAACAUCUCACGACACGGGCUGACGACAGCCAUGCAGCACCUGUGUGUAGGUCCCGUAAGGGAAGGAAUCCAUCUCUGGAAGCCGUCCUACCAUGUCAAACGCUGGUAAGGUUCUGCGCGUUGCUUCGAAUUAAACCACAUGCUCCACCGCUUGUGCAGGCCCCCGUCAAUUUCUUUGAGUUUUAGUCUUGCGACCGUACUCCCCAGGCGGAGCACUUAAUGCGUUAGCUGCGUCGAAGCGGGGGUCUACACCCGCUCCAACUAGUGCUCAUCGUUUACAGCGUGGACUAC
rnacentral:misc_RNA from 1 species